GCAGCAGGCGCGCAAAUUACCCAAUCCCGAUACGGGGAGGUAGUGACAAUAAAUACUGAUACGGGGCUCUUUUGGGUCUCGUAAUUGGAAUGAGAACAAUUUAAAUCCCUUAACGAGGAACAAUUGGAGGGCAAGUCUGGUGCCAGCAGCCGCGGUAAUUCCAGCUCCAAUAGCGUAUAUUAAAGUUGUUGCAGUUAAAAAGCUCGUAGUUGAACCUUGGGUCUGGCUGGCCGGUCCGCCUCACCGCGAGUACUGGUCCGGCUGGACCUUUCCUUCUGGGGAACCUCAUGGCCUUCACUGGCUGUGGGGGGAACCAGGACUUUUACUGUGAAAAAAUUAGAGUGUUCAAAGCAGGCCUUUGCUCGAAUACAUUAGCAUGGAAUAAUAGAAUAGGACGUGCGGUUCUAUUUUGUUGGUUUCUAGGACCGCCGUAAUGAUUAAUAGGGAUAGUCGGGGGCGUCAGUAUUCAGCUGUCAGAGGUGAAAUUCUUGGAUUUGCUGAAGACUAACUACUGCGAAAGCAUUCGCCAAGGAUGUUUUCAUUAAUCAGUGAACGAAAGUUAGGGGAUCGAAGACGAUCAGAUACCGUCGUAGUCUUAACCAUAAACUAUGCCGACCAGGGAUCGGGCGAUGUUAUCUUUUUGACUCGCUCGGCACCUUACGAGAAAUCAAAGUCUUU
rnacentral:rRNA from 1 species